rnacentral:rRNA from 1 species
UACAGGGGGUGCAAACGUUGCUCGGAAUCAUUGGGCGUAAAGCGCACGUAGGCGGUUCGUUAUGUCGGAUGUGAAAGCCCUUGGCUUAACCGAGGAAGUGCAUCCGAAACUGGCGAGCUAGAGUACGAAAGAGGAUCGCGGAAUUCCCGGUGUAGAGGUGAAAUUCGUAGAUAUCGGGAGGAACACCAGUGGCGAAGGCGGCGAUCUGGGUCGAUACUGACGCUGAGGCGCGAAAGCGUGGGGAGCAAACAGG